CCUUGUGUGCACAGCAAUAAGACCCACUGAUUAUGCUACAGCAACAAUCCAAAAAAGAAAAAACUCCAACGCCCAACGUCAAUCGAGCCCGGCCUUGAUACCAAAAAUGUUGGGAAUCUGCUGUAUUUCUAGUUGCAGUAAACAAGUAAACACAACAAGGCAAUAUUUGACUACAAGGGAAAAGAUAUAAAGUGCAGGAAUUCAAGUCUGCUACAGCAGAAAAAAAAGGGGAAGAAACUUGAAAGAAACAGAGGCUUUUUACUAUAGAUACACCAACAGUUGCAAUUACUUGUUGCCAUAUAUAUAGCUUUGGCCCUGAACCUGAUAUUAUGUACCAAACUAUUGCUGAUCAUGUGGUACUGCAUAACAAGUGCUUAAAGUCAAACAUGGAGCAGACUAACAUCACUUUGCACAUUAUUG
rnacentral:lncRNA from 1 species